CAAAUACUCCCUCCCUCUAACAAAAAAUGGCUCAAACUUGUCAAAAUUGGAUGUAUCUAGAUGUGACUUAGUAUACAGAUGCAUUCAAAUUUAGUCAAAGUUAAGACAUCCUUUGUUGUAUAGAGGGAGUACUAG
rnacentral:pre_miRNA from 1 species